GACGAACGCUGGCGGCGUGCUAACACAUGCAAGUCGAACGGAAAGGCCCUGCUUUUGUGGGGUGCUCGAGUGGCGAACGGGGGAGUAACACGUGAGUAACCUGCCCUUGACUUUGGGAUAACUUCAGGAAACUGGGGCUAAUACCGGAGAGGAGCUCCUGCUGCAGGGUGGGGGUUGGAAAGUUUCGGCGGUUGGGGAUGGACUCGCGGCUUAUCAACUUGUUGGUGGGGUAGUGGCUUACCAAGGCUUUGACGGGUAGCCGGCCUGAGAGGGUGACCGGCCACAUUGGGACUGAGAUACGGCCCAGACUCCUACGGGAGGCAGCAGUGGGGAAUAUUGCACAAUGGGCGGAAGCCUGAUGCAGCAACGCCGCGUGCGGGAUGACGGCCUUCGGGCUGUAAACCGCUUUCGCCUGUGACGAAGCGUGAGUGACGGUAAUGGGUAAAGAAGCACCGGCUAACUACGUG
rnacentral:rRNA from 1 species